rnacentral:ncRNA from 1 species
GUGAGCCAUAUGAGAUGAAAAUCUCAUAUACGGUUCUGGAACGGAGAUUCUUUGAAUCGAAUAACGACCGUAAC